CUUGACAACUCAAAAUCCUGUUCCUCUGUGUGUAUUAGAAAAAGUUCCAUGAGUCUGAUUAAAUACAUCAGUUAGUAAAAGUCAAGAAUGCAGCAAGACUAAAAAUCCAAAGGUCAAGAUAAACUUUCUCCCACUAUAUUUUUUGCUGAGGGCAGCUGUAUUUUCUUGCCGUUUAUUGAAGACUUCCAGUCACCCAGGACUGCAGACCCAUCACCUUGUCACUGUAUGAUUACAACCUCAUCAAAUGACCAGAUACCUUCAUUAGUACCAUCACCUUGUCCUAGACAUAUAGUGAAAUAAUGAGCCUGAAUUGUCAAAAUGCUAUUGUUUCUUGCUUAUGGUUUGUCUGUCUCUGUUUAAAAUAGGGAUAGGCAGAGCGAAUAUGAGAGAGAAACACAGCGCUAGUGAGAGACUAGAAAAAGGCUAAAGAUUUCAACCAGAUGCUGUGGUUUGAUGUUGGAUAGCAGCCAGUAAGCAUGUACUCAUGCUGCAGCUAUGUAGUGAGAGCAGCUCCCUCAACUCUUAACCCCCCCAACCCACCACCCACCCCAAUAGGUUUCCACCCCUUCCCUUUAUGUUAUAACAACAGACCCUGAGACUUGUUUCUGCAGAUAAAAUUGACAACACAACACUUCACCCUUGAGUUAAAGCAUUUGGAGCCAUUACAUGUGAUGUGGCGUUUUUCCGCUUGCAGAGCUAAGAUGUGAUGUAUGACUCCACUGUCUUUGUCAGCUCUGAAUGUAACAAGAGCAACAUGACCAAGAUAAAAUGCACUCUGCACAUGAGCUAGCGGAGAUCUGCGUCUUGAGAAAUGUUUAGCUAAGAGAUGUUUAAGAGCCAGGGCUGCUCCUCAACUUAGCAAUGACCAUGAUUUUCCACUGUGUGAGCUUGCAGAGGAGAGAAGGGGAGGGACUAGACAAAGGAAGGUGGAAAAAAAUACAGUCUACUGAAGUUCUCUACUGGAAUUUCUGGCAUCAUCAUCCAGACCUGCACAUUUAACCAAAAUGGUAGGAAAAAUCAGAGGAAACUUCAGAAAAAACUGGAGCCCACGAGUGAAAUAUAUGUAGACAAUUACAAAUCUGUAGUUAUCUUCUGAGUACUAACUGUUGAUAACAUCCCAAACACAAAUCAGUGCUGAUGAAUAUUAUUUAGAAGUUUUUGCUUAGAAAUAAUUAUACAAUUACAAACAUACAGGAAGGGACUGAUCCAUUUUUAAGGUCCAUGUGUCCUUGCAUUCUUCCUCAUAGAUAUAAUAUCUUCCAGGUGUCUUUGGGUUCAUCUAACUGACCCAGGAACCUCACAAAUGUCUG